GUGGCGAACGGGUGAGUAAUGCAUCGGAACGUGCCCGAUCGUGGGGGAUAACACUUCGAAAGAAGUGCUAAUACCGCAUACGAUCUGAGGAUGAAAGCGGGGGACCGUAAGGCCUCGCGCGAUCGGAGCGGCCGAUGUCAGAUUAGGUAGUUGGUGGGGUAAAGGCCUACCAAGCCGACGAUCUGUAGCUGGUCUGAGAGGACGACCAGCCACACUGGGACUGAGACACGGCCCAGACUCCUACGGGAGGCAGCAGUGGGGAAUUUUGGACAAUGGGCGCAAGCCUGAUCCAGCAAUGCCGCGUGCAGGAAGAAGGCCUUCGGGUUGUAAACUGCUUUUGUACGGAGCGAAAAGGCUCUCUCUAAUACAGGGGGCUGAUGACGGUACCGUAAGAAUAAGCACCGGCUA
rnacentral:rRNA from 1 species